rnacentral:lncRNA from 1 species
UUCAUCAAAAGCAGGCCUUCUGCAUACACACGCAAGACAAAUAGGACUGAGGGGUGAUGACGGAUACUGUAGGCCCGCGGUGAUUGGGAUGACCCUCCACUCACAUAGUUGAUCAAAGGCAAGUAAAACAAUCAGCCAGCCAUCAGCAACGAUGUAAUAUUAAACUCCCCAAACACCUCAUUUAAUUAAGUCAUUAUGAUCGAAAUCUCCUUACCAGAUCUUUUAAGUUAUACACUCAUAGACCUUGCCCUAAGAUAGCAGAAAAGAACUUCCGGAGGGAAAGCUGCUGUUAAAAAUUAUGAAUAAAAUAACAUCUCUUCCCUCUACCCCACAAAUCAAUCGCUCUCUAGAAGGAUACACUUCUAUCUGAUUUCCCCAGGAAGAGCUCAGAAAGCUGGGUGCAUCAUGCCUAGCAUCCUGUCCCUGAUUAGCCUGCUGCAGACAGCAAUCGAGGCAGAACACAGCUGGCAUAUAUGAUGUCAGCUUCUUUUGGGGCCGAUUGCUAUGAAGUCACAAACCCUACUUUUGUGAACCUGUUGCUGGCCAAACAAGCCUGAUCCAAAGCACACUGAAGAAAACGUUUGGCCGCUUGCAGGUGCAGUCCCAGCACCGGAGGGGAGGAGAAGUGAAGGGGAACUCGCUUACAGUGGGAAUACGUCAAUGUGCAGAGUGCCUGGUUACUACAGAGCAGAGAUUUCUGAGCCAGAUUCCAGACAAGAACAAGAUGGGGUUGCAUCCAGUACUCUACAAUUUGCUCACCCUGGAAGUAGAAUGUUGAAUUCUGUAAAGACAGUAGUUAAAAUGCAUGCAUCCGGAUUGCUUCUGAGCUCCUCUGCAGUGGAUGACCACGUAGCAGAACCAAAUGUGUUCCUCUCCAAUGGGGAACAAGGGAUCCCUUCUCCUCCUGUCACCUGUGCAGAUACUGUGCCUUUCAUUUCUUCCAGGCAGCACUGCAUUUUGAAGAGGAGGAGGAAGGACUGUGAAAGCAAUGCAUUAAACUGGCUGAAGGGAUGAAUAAUACUCUAAACCAAAGGGCAGCUUCAAUUACUUUCACUGUUCUAAUCAACGCCCCCGACGUGGGACAUCAAAGCAGGGCAAAUCAAGCACAGAAUUCAGGACGUCCCUGAACUCAAGGCUGCUUGACAGGGACAGCAUGGAAAUGUCCUGAUUAUAUUUCACAAGCCAGCUAAUCUCAGACCUGCCCUCAGAGGAAGACUGGCCCUGAAGGCAGGAAGAUGCAGUAGGACACGCUGUUCUGCAUGACUCCAACGGAGUCAGUGGUAUUCCUGUUUUCAUGUGGCACACUCUCUUUUGAAAUCUCCAGCGGAGAUAUAAAACCCUUAAGAGCAGGACACAGCUUUUUUUUUCGGUGGCAUCUCUUGGGCUGAGCCUGAAUGUGAUCUCAAGAUGCUCUGGGCAGCGAGGAUGAGUGGGAAUACUCUUCCUUGCUGGUGUUGGUCUGACCCUGCCACUGAAUGGGAGAGCUUGGAAAUAAGCUUGUUCCAUUGACAUGGCUCAGAGGGAUUAUCUCCUCCUUGACCUUACAACCCUAUGGCUGAUGAGCUUACCAGGUGCUUUUAUCUAGCCCCAGCUGACACUGCCGAGGGGUUUUGUCAGAUCUGCCGCUGCCGAGCAGAAUACCGUUGGAUGGAUUCUCCAUGCCCAUUCUGUUUUAUAAAUGACCUGGACAAUGAGGCUUUCACACCAGGCAAUGGGGCUUUCAGUCUGAGAGUCAGGGGAGGAGGACUGAACGAACCCACACCCCCAGCCGAUCCAGUGUCCGACGGGAGCGUGGAUCUCAGUAGCUGAAUGGAGAGCUGAACCUUCCAACUUUGGUGUAAAUGCCUGCUAUAACUGUAUGUAAGGGCUCUAAACAAGAGCAGAUGUGACAGCAGUUCAGGUUUAAAUGCAGUGCUCACGAACAGAGUUGUGGCUGUAUUCAUUUGGGCUCUAACGUUUGACAUCAGUGCUCCCAAAGCGAAGGACAGGCUGUCAGAACAGCUGCAAAAUGAGGACUGGUCACAAUAAACCACCUACCAUGCUGCCUUAAGAAGCCUUC